GACGAACGCUGGCGGCGUGCUUAACACAUGCAAGUCGAACGGAAAGGCCCUGCUUGCAGGGUACUCGAGUGGCGAACGGGUGAGUAACACGUGGGUGAUCUGCCCUGCACUUCGGGAUAAGCCUGGGAAACUGGGUCUAAUACCGGAUAGGAGCCAUUUUUAGUGUGAUGGUUGGAAAGUUUUUUCGAUGUAGGAUGAGCUCGCGGCCUAUCAGCUUGUUGGUGGGGUAAUGGCCUACCAAGGCGGCGACGGGUAGCCGGCCUGAGAGGGUGGACGGCCACAUUGGGACUGAGAUACGGCCCAGACUCCUACGGGAGGCAGUAGUGGGGAAUAUUGCACAAUGGGCGCAAGCCUGAUGCAGCGACGCCGCGUGGGGGAUGACGGCCUUCGGGUUGUAAACUCCUUUCGCUAGGGACGAAGCUUUUUGUGACGGUACCUAGAUAAGAAGCACCGGCUAACUACGUG
rnacentral:rRNA from 1 species